CUUGCUGAAGUGCACACAGCAAG
rnacentral:misc_RNA from 1 species